AGAACGGUCCCUUCGGGGAUUUAGUAAAGUGGCGAACGGGUGAGUAACGCGUGGAUGAUCUGCCCUCAAGUGGGGGAUAACUCGGGGAAACCCGGGCUAAUACCGCAUAAGCCCUUCGGGGGAAAAGUAUUUAUAUUGCUUGAGGAGGAGUCCGCGUCCGAUUAGCUGGUUGGUGAGGUAAGAGCUCACCAAGGCGACGAUUGGUAGCCGGUCUGAGAGGACGGACGGCCACACUGGAACUGAGACACGGUCCAGACUCCUACGGGAGGCAGCAGUGGGGAAUUUUGGGCAAUGGGGGAAACCCUGACCCAGCAACGCCGCGUGGAGGAAGAAGGUUUUCGGAUCGUAAACUCCUGUCCCGAGGGACGAAGCAAGUGACGGUACCUCGGGAGGAAGCCCCGGCUAACUCCGUGCCAGCAGCCGCGGUAAUACGGGGGGGGCAAGCGUUGUUCGGAAUUACUGGGCGUAAAGGGCGCGCAGGCGGUUUCGUCAGUCAUGGGUGAAAGCCCCGGGCUCAACCCGGGAAGGGCCUGUGAAACCAC
rnacentral:rRNA from 1 species